CUUAGUACGGCGAGUGAAGCGGCAAAAGCUCAAAUUUGAAAUCUGGUACCUUCGGUGCCCGAGUUGUAAUUUGGAGAGGGCAACUUUGGGGCCGUUCCUUGUCUAUGUUCCUUGGAACAGGACGUCAUAGAGGGUGAGAAUCCCGUGUGGCGAGGAGUGCGGUUCUUUGUAAAGUGCCUUCGAAGAGUCGAGUUGUUUGGGAAUGCAGCUCUAAGUGGGUGGUAAAUUCCAUCUAAAGCUAAAUAUUGGCGAGAGACCGAUAGCGAACAAGUACAGUGAUGGAAAGAUGAAAAGAACUUUGAAAAGAGAGUGAAAAAGUACGUGAAAUUGUUGAAAGGGAAGGGCAUUUGAUCAGACAUGGUGUUUUGUGCCCUCUGCUCCUUGUGGGUAGGGGAAUCUCGCAUUUCACUGGGCCAGCAUCAUUUUUGGUGGCAGGAUAAAUCCAUAGGAAUGUAGCUUGCCUCGGUAAGUAUUAUAGCCUGUGGGAAUACUGCCAGCUGGGACUGAGGACUGCGACGUAAG
rnacentral:rRNA from 1 species